rnacentral:tRNA from 1 species
UGGGGUGUAGCCAAGCGGUAAGGCAGUGGGUUUUGAUCCCACCAUGCGCAGGUUCGAUCCCUGCCACCCCAGCCA